rnacentral:lncRNA from 1 species
AAUGAACACGCUCCUGCAAUCUGUACACGCGGAAAAAUAAGAAUUCAUACUCCAUUUGAAUCAAAUGUAUGAUAUAUGAUAUGUCACGAUCAUUGUAAAUAUUUUGACCAACUAAUAAAAAAAAUGAACACGCCCCCCAAAAUAGUGUAGGUAGUCCCCUUCCCGAUUUAGGAAUAAGACUUUAAGUUACCCUAAAAAGCUACUGUAAGGAAGGAAAUUCAGCUUUUCCUCAAUUCCAAUUGCUGUGAACAAGUGCACAUUUGGGACAGAUCCCCUUUAGCAAAAAACAGAUUAAAAGGCUGGGGAUAUAACUCAGUUGGUAGAGUGGUUACCUUGCACGCACAAGGCCCUGUGUUCAAUCCCCAGCACCACAAAAAGAAAAAGAAAAAAAAAAACAACAGAUUAAUAAGAGAAAACCCAAGUCCAUUUCUUAACACUUGCAGGAGAAACUUCAAUGAAAGGUAGCUCAAGACAGUGGCUUACAACUCUGGCUUAUACAGCAUCUUCCACAAAGAACAAUAAACUUUUAGAGAAAUGGCAGAAGAAAGGCAAACAGUUUAAGCCUUCUAAUAAUGAGAAACUAAGAAGGCAAAUAAAUAUAUGGGAAGACACUGGAGGGGUAGGAUUCAUUCAUAGAUGCCUCAGGUGCCCUUCUCAGCUGAUAAGAGUUGUCUCCAGUAAAGGAGAAUUGAAAUCUUGUAUAUUUAAAUCUUGUAUAGAAUUUAUAUCUUUGGGUGGAAAAGGAGGCUAGAGAGAGCUCAUCCUCUAUUUGCUGCUUCUUCAUUGCUGUCAGCUCAAAAAUAUUUGUCAAGGAGGCAUAUGUGGGGGUGAUGCAUUCUGAUUUCCUUCACUACUUACAGUGAAUACCUUUUUAAGGGGAGAGUGGUAUUUUUACUAUCUAGGAAAAUUUCUUUUUAAGAAGUCUGGAAUUUGGAAGGAAAUAUAUUAAAGCUCUACUUGCGGGCUCAGAAAACUAGCACCAGUAAUAACCUCUUCAUUUACAGAAAGUGUUGCAGUAAGAAAGCAAUGUUAUACCGCUGUGCACCACAGAUCACCUAACCGCCACAGUGGUUCAGUUCUUAGCAUUACUCUCAAGCAGAAGAAACUGAUGCAUAAAUAAUAACGAGGCUCCCACUUCAAAUGGGCGGGUUUUAGAAAAAUCUCUAGCUUCUGAUGUUACUCAUAGGGAGACAAAAACCUGCCUCUGAUGGCAAAGGAGAAUAUGUUAAGUAGAUGAAGGUUUUGAGGUAAGACAGAAAAAUUAAGAAAUAGGUAGAAAGGAAAUACAAAGGAAGGACAGGGGAAAAGGACUUUUAAUUCACAAGUUCCGCAUUGUUUUUCAGGCCUGUCAUCCCCUAUGCCUGUUUCCUUCAAGGCCUUUUAUGCCAAAAUUCCAGGGAAAUCUGAAAAAUCUACCUGUGCACUGUUAAUUAACCACCUCAUAAAUCAAUUAAGCAAAGAGAGAUGUGUUAUCUUGAAGCACACAUAUUUUAGGGAACUUUCUAGCGCCAUCUAGUGAUCAGAUGAUGAAGACCACGUCAGCCUGAGGAUCCUGAGACUAACCAACCUCCAGAAACUGUCUUGAGAUCACCAGACUAAUAUCAUUCCUAAGUACCUUCUCAUACCCACCUCUCACCAAGUUUCCUUUAAAAAAAAAAAAGAACCCCAACUCAACAUAUCUGCAUUCUUCCUUGAAUGUAUAUUCCUUCUUGAGAUGGCUCCACUUUCCCUUGAAUGUGUACCAACUUUCCU